rnacentral:lncRNA from 1 species
CUCUAUCGCCUUCUCUUCACUUCUCAAAACAUCCCAUAAACUCCCUCUUUCGAUGAAAUCGUAUACCAAAAACGUGUGUUCGCCUCUCGAGCAGAAUCCGUAAAGCUUAACUAUGUUUCGAUGUCGGAUCUCGGUUAGUGUUGCGACUUCCCUUUUGAAACUCUUCAAGUUCUCCAUCCCCAUGUCACUGUCCCAAAGGUUGAGCUUCUUUACUGCGAAUACCUCACCACUCGACAUUUCGGCUUUGUAAACUGUUCCUGACCCUCCUCUUCCGAUGCAGUAUUUGUCGUCGAAAUUCUCUGUUGCUUGGAUUAUCUCGUCGUAUACUAGCUUCCCGUCGUACUCCCAGAGGUUUGCAAAUUGUGAUUUUGGUUCCAUUUUUGGUGUUCUUGGUGUGUAGUUUGAUUCUUUUACGACUUUUUUUCGUCGGAACCACGAAAUAAUUCCGAAUAGUAUUAGAGAGAAUAAUAGUACACUGAGUAAAGUUGGAACCAGAAUAAUCAAUAGCUUCUGCUUUCUGUUAGAAAUAUAAACAAAAUGAAAGUCAAGCAUUUGUUGGACAAGAAAAAAAAAAUCAUGAAUAUUUGUUCAAGAAAAUAACCAACAAUAACUAUACAUUACUACUUGUUUGUUUCCUAAUAAAAGGAAAAAGCUAUCCAUUAGUACUAACAUAUUUCAUUGAAGUUUUAACAUUCGCCAGUGCCAAAAGCCUGCUUGCUUAGCUCAACUAUAACUCACGUAAAUAUUUAUCCUCAAGGAGGGAGGUCUAAUCCUCAAGUCUGAAUUCUUGUACUAAAAAGAACACUCACCAACAUGAAUCUGGUUCUAAGUGGUAACAACCACCUAUAUUAUUAAACUCAACUCUCAAACAAGAUCAAACUAGAAAUAAAAGAAUUAGGUUCUAAAUUGACAAUAGAAGUGCUAUAUGUUUAAAACGAUUAAGAAUUUCAAAGAAUCAAAUAUUCCUCAUGUACUUGACAAAUUGAACUGGAAAUUCAAUAUAAAAUCCUUGCACAAAGUUAUUGAUCCUGUUAAAUGCACAAAGUAAAAACAAAUUAGAUAUCUCAAAUAAAAAAACCACAAAUAAAUUUGAUAUGUUUUUAUAUUUAUAAAUAGUUUGGUUUAUUUUAUUACUAUAUUUUGAAAGCACUCAUAAAAAAUUGGCAUAUGUGGUAACAGUUUGAUUAUAGUUAUUAGGGUUGUUUUCAAUUAUAUUAUUGUUAUUUACCAUUUUAAAGAAAGUAAAAAAAAUAUAUCAAACUUUUGAGUUAUAGGGAUGAGUUUAGUACCUUUCAUCUUUGGAUUUUCCCAUGAAAAUAUAACAUCUUUGCAUGCCCUCAAUAUUUCCACAUAAAUCUGUGUUGUUAACAAAAUCUUGUAGCUGAGCUUUGUCAAAGACACCACCAGAAGGAAGAGGUCCACUUAAAUUGUUGAAUGAAAGAUUUAUACUCACUAAUCCCAUCAUAUCCUUCAAGGAAUUAGGGAUUUCACCAGAAAGAUGAUUAUGAGACAAACUCAAUCUCUCUAAAUGCAUCAAAUUCCCAAGUGAUGAAGGAAUUUCUCCAACCAACGAAUUGUUACUCAAAUCCAACAAAUCUUCCAAG